CUCAAGUCACAGCAGGGGACUGCCAACUUCUUUCAGAACUGAAACUAGAAAACCGGAAGUAGGCAACUCGGCUUCCAGCAAAUGUUGACUUUGCACAACAAAAUGUGCGGUGUGCCCAAUGUGUCUGGCUGCAUGUGAAUAAUGAAACCCAGUGCUUGACACGGGCAGAUGAUGUCUUGUGACUAACUAGGGUCCCUUUCUAUCCUAAGCACUGUAGAAUGGAGAUGAAGACAAUGACAUGAAGUUAUUUUAAAAAUGUGACUUGGAUUUCACAUACUUUACAUUUUAUCCUGAGUGUAGGAUUGGGAAAGGAAGAAUCAGGUAGAGCUGAGCCAUGCCUCUCUUUCCCAAGUUGGUCACUACAUUAAAGAGUGUCCAACCACUGAAGACUCAUAGAAGAAAGCCGGUUACCUGGUUUUGGAUUGGACAGUGAGUGCAGCAAUUUCCUGUAGCCUUCUUUCCAUGAAGGGGAAGGAGAGAGAGGCUCGGAAGACUCCAGAAGUAAACAAAUCUUUCAAGCUCCAGGAAAGUUAAAACCAACACAAUUCACAAGGCCCCUCCAAGGACACAGAAGCAGUGAAGAACCGCUGGGUGUUGGUAGGGGAGAGAAGGCAACAGUGCAUGGAGGAUCCCUUCUGACUCAUCCAGCUUUUGCAGUUUCUGCAGAGGGCUCCAGGGUUGCAGCUUUGUGGAGUUGUCACCUAUGCUGUGGGCUUCUCUGUGAUGAAGCUCCUUAGGGUCAUCUCUGCUCCUUGGACAAUCUCCCAUCCAUACUCCUGUGGACAACCUCCCAUUUAUACUCCUGAGGGCAACCUCUCAUCCAUACUCCUGCUGGCAACCAACUCCAAUAAGCUGGUUGAAGCCAACUUGGACUUUGGUGGCAUUUUUCUUUUGUCUAAUACUGGUAUUGAGCCAUUUCUAGAGUGAGUAGGCAUCUGUGUCACAUGUCUACAGGAAAAUAUUCACACAACAGACAAAAAGAAAUGUAUUUGUGCUUCUCCUUCUUAAAGCAUCUCCUUUUGUUUUGAAUGAGGGGUGUCUAAGCUGUCUGCUUUCUUCUUCCUUGAUUUCUUCUUUCUUCCUUCCUUCCUUCCUUCCUUCCUUCCUUCCUUCCUUCCUUCCUUCCUUCUCUCUCUCUCUCUCUCUCUCUCUCUCUCUCUCUCUCUCUCUCUCCCUCCCUCCCUCCCUCCUUCCUUCCUUCCUUGACAUACCCUCAUGAAUCCUCAAUUGGCUUCACACUUAGUAUUUAGCUAAAGAUGACCUUGAAUUUCUGAGCCUUCUGUCUCUACCUCCUGAAUGCUGAGAUUAUAGGGGACCACCUUUUGUGUUGUGCUGGGGAUUGAAUCCAACACUUCAUGUGCCCUAGACCAGAACUCUACCAACUGAGCUACAUUCCUGGCUCAGCUAUGACGGUUCUUAUUUUUAAGGGCUGCAUGAACAUUGCCAUGCUUGUAGGGCCCUGGAUACUAGAGACUUCUCCCAGAACCAACCCUCAGGAGGUGGAUAGUGGAGAAACUUUACCAAUUCAACAAGCUGAGAAAUAAAGUAUUUGGCUUGGCAGCCCCAAAGGUUGAUAAAUUGCAUGAGAGGAAGAUAUCUGUGAUUGGAAAAGGAUUCUCCACUUCUCUUUCAACACUGUUGCUCCUCCCCCUCCUCUACCUCAUCUCCCCUAUUCUCUGAGGCUGAUCUUCCACCCUUUAUCCAUUUGAUUUGGUCAUUGUAAGUGAUCUUCAAAAGAGUCCUAGUGGUCGUGGGACCAAAACAACAUUACCUGGCAGGUUUUCAUGGAUUUUCCUCAGGGAUAUUUGAUCUGGGUAUCUCCUAAGUAACUUGAGCAGUUGGAGAUGUGGCAUCGGAUGCUUCAGUUCUGACUACAGUUAGGUCUUAAUUGAGAGCACCAUGGUAAUUGGCUUUGAAAUCUUGAAAGACCUUUGUUUAAGGUCCAGUAGUGCAGUGAAGGCACAGCCCAAGGGAUGGAGCAGCUGCUGGUGUCUGCUCCUUCAUAAAGAUAGAUCUUUCUGUUCCCAGUAUAAAAAUAAGUGAGUCCAAAUUAUAAAGGAGCUGAAAAGGGCAGUCAAACAAGACAAAAAAUUAAAGAAUGACUGUUACCCAACAAAUUAAAUCAUAAUACAAUCAUUAAUGCUUUCCUACAAAAGCAUCCUGGACAUUGUAUAAACACAAAAAAAUACAAGAAAAUUUAUAAAGUAAUAUCAGAUUAUCCCCUAAUGAUAAGAACUGCAUAUAUUUAUAUGAACAUUAGAGAUAGCUGCUCUUUCUAUCGAUGUAUGCCUAAUAGAUAGAUGAUUAUAGAUUGAUGAAUGGAUGGAUAAAUAGGUAAGUAG
rnacentral:lncRNA from 1 species